rnacentral:lncRNA from 1 species
GUAGCUAGGCAAUAUUCAGUCAUUUCUUUUCUUUUCUUUUCUUUUCUUUUUUUUUUUUUUUGACACAGAGUCUAACCCUGUUGCCCAACCUGGAGCGCAAUGGCCCGAUCUCGGCUCACUGCAACCUCCACCUCCCAGGUGCAAACCAUUCUCCUGCCUCAGCCUCCCAAGUAGCUCAGAUUACAGGCGCUCACCACCAUGCCCAGCUAAUUUUUGUAUUUUUAGUAGAGACAGGGUUUCACCAUGUUAGUGAGGCUGGUCUCGAACUUCUGACCUCGUGCUCCACCCGCCUUGGCCUCCCAAAGUGUUGGGAUUACAG